CGGGAAGGGAGCACGGUCGCGCCCCUUUGGGGGUGAGGAAAGUCCGGGCACCGGAGGGCAGGGUGCCAGGUAACGCCUGGGCGCCGCAAGGCGACGGAAAGUGCCACAGAAAGCAGACCGCCGAUCCGCUCCCCUCGGGGAGGUCAUGGAGGCAAGGGUGAAACGGUGGGGUAAGAGCCCACCAGCGCUCCGGGAGACCGGGGCGGCUCGGUAAACCCCACCCGGUGCAAGGCCAGUUAGGCAGGAAGGGCUCGCCCGGCCCGAUCGCACCUGCGGGUUGGCCGCUCGAGGCCGGCGGCGACGUCGGUCCCAGAUAGAUGACCGUGCACGACAGAACCCGGCUUACAUCCCUUCCCACCCC
rfam:Oceanithermus profundus DSM 14977, complete genome.